UACAGUUGACAGGCGGGAGAGAGAGAUGGGGGAUGACACACAGCAAAGGGCUGCAGAUUGGAUUCGAACCCGGGCUGCUGCAGGACCCAGCCAACAUGGGCCGAAUGCUGUUACUGGCCUGCUAAACUGAAUUACACUGAUGUGCAGACACAAAGAGAUGGAUGGAGGAACGGGGGGGAUGUGUCCCAUGGACCGGAAGUAGAAGGGCGUGACUUCGGCUAUCUAUGGGAUUUAGUCAGGAAGUUGGAUGUGAGCAGGACAGCCUCAUGGUUUGUGUUAUCAUCUCUCCAUACAUUCCGCUUCAAUCUUUGACAUUACAUGCCUUGGGUAGCAUUCUUGGUAUGUGAAAUAGACGCUGACAUACUGUUCUUAUAUCUCUGUUAAUUAUUGUCAGUAUGUUUUAUGUGCAAUAUGUAUAUUUCUGAUGAUGAUUGAUAGCUCAUAUUAGAUUGACAGUAGCUUCAGUAAGCUACUAUUAUCUUGCGUUGUGCUACAUGGAAUUUUAGUUUAUUUAGAUAAACAAUAUAGGUUUUACCUAUACCUUUAUUUCAGCUUUUCAUGUUAGCUUUUCAUGUUAGCUACUGUAUAUACUACCGCAUUACAGUGACGUGCAGUUAUAUUGUUUUUAUAAUUAUCAUUGUGAAAUAUUUGUGACUCAUCAAUAUGUAAGUAACUGGUCAUUGUGUUUCAUUUCCCAGUUUCGCCCUUUCUCUGUCAAUAAACUGAGUUAAGAUGAUCCCAGUCUCCAGUUCUUGAUGGUGGAAGGUGUUUAGCUGCUGGUCAGAUUACACAGGGUCACAACUUACAUGCAUACAGGACAAGACCCA